UGGGAUAACUCCGCGAAAGCGGGGCUAAUACCAAAUGAUAUUCCGAUUCCCAAGGGAGUCGGAAUCAAAGGUGGCCUCUGCAUGCAAGCUAUCAUCAAAGGAUGGGCCCGCGUACCAUUAGCUAGUUGGUAGGGUAGUAGCCUACCAAGGCGACGAUGGUUAGCUGGUCUGAGAGGAUGAUCAGCCACACUGGAACUGAGACACGGUCCAGACUCCUACGGGAGGCAGCAGUGAGGAAUAUUGCGCAAUGGGGGCAACCCUGACGCAGUGACGCCGCGUGAGUGAUGAAGGCUUUCGAGUUGUAAAGCUCUGUUAGGUGGAAAGAAACACUCCAGCGCUAAUAUCGCUGGGGCUUGACGGUACCACCAGAGGAAGCACCGGCUAACUCCGUGCCAGCAGCCGCGGUAAUACGGAGGGUGCAAGCGUUGUUCGGAUUUACUGGGCGUAAAGGGCGUGUAGGCGGUUAGCUAAGUCAGAUGUGAAAGCCCUUGGCUUAACCAAGGAAGAGCAUUUGAAACUAGCUGACUGGAGUACAGGAGAGGAAAGUGGAAUUCCCAGUGUAGAGGUGAAAUUCAUAGAUAUUGGGAGGAACACCGGUAGCGAAGGCGGCUUUCUGGCCUGAUACUGACGCUGAGACGCGAAAGCGUGGGGAGCAAACAGGAUUAGAUACCCUGGUAGUCCACGCCGUAAACUAUGGGCACUAGGUGUAGGAAGUGUUGACCCUUUCUGUGCCGAAGCUAACGCAUUAAGUGCCCCGCCUGGGGAGUACGGUCGCAAGGCUAAAACUCAAAGGAAUUGACGG
rnacentral:rRNA from 1 species